UUCGCCAGUCUCUUACUCGUUGUGGUUGACGGAAUCACUAAUAUGGCAGCUCACUGUGGGCUCACCACAAAAUGCAUGCAGCAUUCAAGAUCUGUUCCUUGAGGGGAAAAAUUCAAUCGGGCACCAGCAACAGGAACAGCGAUGGCCACCAUCGUUUCUCCAGAGAAGGGAGGUUUCUGCACAUCGCUGUGUUGGCCGGCGACAUGGAGGAGGAGACGACCAGGCUCUCCUUGAGACAAUUUAGGCUGCAGUCCUGCUGCUCCACCGUACACGGCCGUGGCAAGGAAAGGGAGGAGCCGAGUUAGAGCGGGUCACCCAGAACCUCAGACCCGCCGAAGAGGCCGACAGCUUGGAGGAAGCCAAAUAAAACUAUGCCGCUUUUGAGCUUA